UACGGAUGAAAGCAGGGGACCGCAAGGCCUUGCGCGAACGGAGCGGCCGAUGGCAGAUUANGUAGUUGGUGGGAUAAAAGCUUACCAAGCCGACGAUCUGUAGCUGGUCUGAGAGGACGACCAGCCACACUGGGACUGAGACACGGCCCAGACUCCUACGGGAGGCAGCAGUGGGGAAUUUUGGACAAUGGGCGCAAGCCUGAUCCAGCCAUGCCGCGUGCAGGAUGAAGGCCUUCGGGUUGUAAACUGCUUUUGUACGGAACGAAAAGACUCUGGUUAAUACCUGGGGUCCAUGACGGUACCGUAAGAAUAAGCACCGGCUAACUACGUGCCAGCAGCCGCGGUAAUACGUAGGGUGCAAGCGUUAAUCGGAAUUACUGGGCGUAAAGCGUGCGCAGGCGGUUAUAUAAGACAGAUGUGAAAUCCCCGGGCUCAACCUGGGAACUGCAUUUGUGACUGUAUAGCUAGAGUACGGCAGAGGGGGAUGGAAUUCCGCGUGUAGCANUGAAAUGCGUAAAUAUGCGGAGGAACACCGAUGGCGAAGGCAAUCCCCUGGGCCU
rnacentral:rRNA from 1 species